rnacentral:rRNA from 1 species
UACGGAGGAUCCAAGCGUUAUCCGGAAUCAUUGGGUUUAAAGGGUCCGUAGGCGGUUUAAUAAGUCAGUGGUGAAAACCCAUCGCUCAACGGUGGAACGGCCAUUGAUACUGUUAAACUUGAAUUAUUAGGAAGUAACUAGAAUAUGUAGUGUAGCGGUGAAAUGCUUAGAGAUUACAUGGAAUACCAAUUGCGAAGGCAGGUUACUACUAAUGGAUUGACGCUGAUGGACGAAAGCGUGGGUAGCGAACAGG